rnacentral:rRNA from 1 species
UCCUGGCUCAGGAUGAACGCUAGCGGCAGGCUUAACACAUGCAAGUCAGGGGGUAUUGGUUUUCGGACCAAAGAGACCGGCGCACGGGUGCGUUAACGCGUAUGCAAUCUACCUUUUGCAGAGGGAUAGCCCAGAGAAAAUUUGGAUUAAUACCUCAUAGUAUAGUACUUUGGCAUCAAGGAACUAUUAAAGUCACAACGGCAAAAGAUGAGCAUGCGUCCCAUUAGCUAGUUGGUAAGGUAACGGCUUACCAAGGCUACGAUGGGUAGGGGUUCUGAGAGGGAGAUCCCCCACACUGGUACUGAGACACGGACCAGACUCCUACGGGAGGCAGCAGUGAGGAAUAUUGGACAAUGGGCGCAAGCCUGAUCCAGCCAUGCCGCGUGCAGGAUGACGGUCCUAUGGAUUGUAAACUGCUUUUAUACAGGAAGAAACACUCCGACGUGUCGGAGCUUGACGGUACUGUAAGAAUAAGGAUCGGCUAACUCCGUG